GGCUGCAGUCUGUGAGCUCUUGUGAUCUGGAUGAGUCACAUGCCGAAAGCCCUCUUGUUUACACUUUCUGUUCUACUGAAUCUGAUAGUGACGCAGCGCGUGCAGCUUCGAACAGCGCACGAGGCCAGCAGGGCUCGGGCUGCCCUGUUUAGUUGUGUUGUCUUCCCCCCGGUGGGGACCGGAGAGGAGACCGCAGAGGCACCGCGGUGCACCGCAGCGGUCCUAGGGGCGGUGUGGUGAAGAGUGACCGGAGGCAACAUGGUGGAUCACUAUAACGUCCUGGGAGUGUCCAAAACCGCCUCUCAGGAUGACAUCAAGAAGGAGUACAGGAAACUGGCACUGAAAUGGCAUCCAGAUAAAAACCCCGACAACAAAGAGGAAGCCGAGAGAAAGUUCAAAGAACUGUCGGAGGCCUAUGAAGUCCUAUCUGACACAAGUAAGCGGGACGCAUAUGACAGAUAUGGAAAUGAAAAAAUACGACACACAGGUUCCUCCACCUCAGACUUUUCAUCAGAUCUGCCAGGAUUCAUUUUUACAUUCCGCAACCCAGACGAGGUUUUCCGAGAGUUUUUUGGCAGCCAGGAUCCUUUUGCUAACUUCUUUGACGACUUCUCAUCCUUUGGAGGCUCGUCCUCUCGCCUCGGCCCCAGUCGGUUCUUUUCUUUUCCUUCAGCACGAGUUGAUUUUACCUCCUUCUCCUCUUCCUCGGGUGGUCUGGAUGGGAUGGACAGCAUGGGCGGAGGGAUGGGCAGCACAGGCGGAGGGAUGGUCAACUUCAAAUCAGUUUCUACCUCCACUCGUAUCGUAAAUGGAAAACGCAUCUCCACCAAGAAGGUAAAGGAGAAUGGGCAAGAGAGAACAGAGAUUGAGGAGGAUGGGGUGUUAAAGAGUGUCCUAAUUAAUGGUGUGGAGGAUGAAAUGGCCCUCGCUCUGGAGCUGAGCCGACGAGUUGGACAGCCCCGUCAGACACCUCCGGAGCCACAAAUCCAAAACAGAUCACCUGCUGAUACUGACAGAUUCCACCGCAGCCCUCACUCUGCACCGACACAACGGUCACUUAGCGCCGCUCCCUUCUACAACUACGGGCUUACGGGCAGCAGUGAGGAUGACGAAGAAGAUGAAGACCUGCAGAUGGCUUUGGCAUGCAGCCUGUCAGAAAUGGAAGCCCAGCAGAAAGCAGCUGCUCCUAACUUCAUAUCAGGUGCUGGGGGUGUGGGCAGAGCCAUGAGUGACGAAGGUGGUGUCUAUCAAGGAGGCGGGGUUGUUAAGACUACACAUUGUAGUGCCGCGAAUACUGAAAAGGUGCUUGCAGGGGAGAGAGAUGAAGAGGGGCAGUUUAAAAUGGGCUCAGGUCCUGAAGCUGGGCGGGUCGGGGAGGGAAAGGCAACCAGGGACCCAGACUUCUCUCCGGAGUCAUCCACAACUGGCAACACUACGCCACUAAGUCAGAGCAGUGAAGAGGAGUUUGAACCUGCCGGGAAACAUAAGAUUGGCAGUGUGAAAAAGAAAAAUAAGUGUGGGUGUAUUAUGUGCUAAUGGUGUGUGUGUGUGUGUGUGUGUGUGUGUGUGUGCAUUUGCAUUUGCAAUGCCUCAUCUUUUCAUAAUUGCCUACAGGCAGACUCCAAUGUUAUGCAAUUGCCAGACUCCUGCUUUGAGGCAGUGGGUCAACUGACCCCAAGGUGUUACUACAGUUUUAAAACUUCUCAGAGUGCCAACAAUAACAUUUCCAAAUGUUUUUGCCAAAAUACAGCUAUGAGAUCAAAUUGAUUGCAAAGCAACUUUUCUGAAAGUAUGUGAAUUUGCCAAAUAUUUAUGCAGAUGAAAAAGAGUUGUCAGUGUUCUUACUUAAAAUCUUACUUACUUAAAAGCUUGUUAGAAUAUAUAUAAGCAAAAGGUAGUCAGAAGCACUGACACACACUGCAAAUAGACUUUGUAAAUACACCCCGGCAUCCCAGUGGAACACGUCAUUCAUGUACAUGUUCAUGGCCUUUAUACCCUUACUAAAAUAUCAUGACAAUGUUUGGUCCGAUUGUAGAUUGGGGGGGGGCAGCACUUUAUGAAGUUGGAGCACAGUUUGCAAUGUUUACAGCAGUCGGACUGAUCGUAAACCACAAUUAAUCAUUAUAUCAUAUUUUUCAUAUUUCUCUCCUUUUGGUGCCUUUGCGUGUUUUAACUAUUUACUGUGUUUAAUUUGCUUGGAUUACUGCUGAAAAUGUGCCAAAUUAGAAAAACCACUCAUGUGUUUCAACUUUAAAGCAACGCGAAUGUCAAAGCUACGCCUUAGCGAUUGGGCGUGAUGUCCCCCUGAGGGGAUGACGGAUUCAAUUCAACUGCACUGUGAAGUUUUAUAAAUAUGCAGCUUCAUCUCCAAAUCAAUGGCAGGUCGACUUUACUUUUGACUGGUUUGAUCUGUCAGUGUAGGGGAACAUCUGUCAACAUCUGUGGAUUAAUUGUAACCUGAAGCACAACACUUAACUCCAACUGCUCCGGUUCAGCCCGUUUGUUGACUGCUGCAAUAAGAUUGCAUUAAUAGCUCAAAUAAAUAUUAAUAAUCUGCUUUCACUUUAAAAGAGGACUAUCAUCACUGGCAAAUACAAGCACAGCUGUGACAACAAGUUACCAUUUUUGACAAUAUUCUAAUAACUGCUGUUGUCGCUGAGUUGCUUAUCAUUUCUCCUCUUCAAACAUUUAUUGCGUCUGCAGAGAGAAUGAGAAGCGGCAGAUGGUUCCUCUUGCAAAUAUAUAUCCGUCUGUUUUUUGUACUACAUAAGGUGUGUUUUUUCAUUUUUAUUUUCAGAUUGUUAAAAGGGAAGUAACAAAUAAAGAUUGAGCUGAAGAGGAUAAUUGAGAUUUUUGAUUUCAAAAUAUGGCAGUAAUAGUUCUGCAUUUAUCACUAAUUGUCACUGAUUUCAUGCUAUACUAAUCCUACCAUUACUACUAAACUAACAGCGGUACAUGAAAUGAGCCGCAGUGGUGUUUUCCUUCAUUUAAUCUGAACCAUUCUUCCUGGACCUGGGUUUACUUGGAUCUCUAAAACAGCCAUUUUAAUAGCAAUGAAAUGAACGCAUAUAAUUUCAUUUUAAAACAAGAGCCAACAGAAUGUGAUCUGUAUGUUUACAUUUUCUUUCUCUUGGUUAGUAGUUCAAACCAAUGGGUCCUUAUUUACUUCCCAUACUGACGCUUUACGCUCCCUCACAAGCUGAAAGUGGAUGUUGAAGUCUGGUUCUCACCGCUCUGCGCCGCUCAUGGCCUGUUUCACCUGUUUUCAGUGCAAACUAAGUUGUUCUAAGAUUGUCAUUGCAACUAUUAGCUUGAUAAAAAAGAAAGCAUUUUUAAUUAAUAACUCAAAAUCAAAUUUUUCUACCUGUGUCGCCGAAAACUGCAAGAGAAAAAAUGGCCAAUUUAAAUGUCCAUGUUGAGGUAUACUGCACCGCUUAUCAAUUAUAAUAACUACACGCUAUCACGCAUUAGUUACCUUUGCAUUAAAAAUGCGGAAGGUAAUGUUUUGAUCGCCGUGUAUUUGUAUGCGUGCGUGCGUGUUAUUCUCAUAAGUCCAAAAGUAUUAAACCGAAUCUCAUGAAAUUUGGUGGGAUGAUUGGUUAUUAUCCAGGGACCAUUUGAUUAGAUUUUGGGAUCGAUCGGGUCAAAGGUCAAGGUCAUGAAAAGGUCAAAAUCGUCUUUGAAUUGCAUGAAAUUUGGUGGGAUGAUUGGUUAUUAUCCGGGGACCAUUUGAUUAGAUUUUGGGAUCAAUCGGGUCAAGGUCACGAAAAGGUCAAACUAUUAUUUUUACCAUAGCGCGGUCAAUUUAUAUCCAAUUGGCAUGCAACUAAUGCCAAAAUGUUCCUAAUUCAAUGCCCAAUCUUGUGAUAUGCGAAGGUAUGCGCUCUACCGAGUGCCCGUUCUAGUUUAGUAUGUUAUUAUAAAGUUUUACCAUUUAUUUGUGUUUGCUCAUGUUAGAGGCAGCAGUGGCCUGGAGCAGUCUCUCGACCAAUAGUUUGCUAAGCCUUUAUAAUAAUUGCAUGCUAUGAAGCAUUAUAUAAUACUUCAUUUACAAAUGGUGGAUUCAUCAUUCAUAAAGUGUGGAACAAUGCUUUAUAAAUGAAUAAUUCAGUGUUUCUCGUGCCUAACUAAUGCUUCAUAACGUGUAGUUAUUAUAACGUGUUAUCCAAAUUUGAAAUAGCCCCAGCAUAUUAUUUCACACCUUGCUGUCAUUGUAUUUGCUGCUUACAUUUUCCCUUUGUUCAUAACUAAUCAAAAUUAUAAUAUUACCUUCUAAUGCCUAUCUUGUAUUGUCAUUUCAUGACCUAUUCUUAGCUGUAAACAGAUCUCAUUGUGACAUCAAACAAACAAAAAAGUUUUAAUAUUAAUGUGACAGACACACUUUAUUGUACCAGAUUAUUUGGGUUUAUUUUUGUUUGUCUUACACUCCCUGCUUCCUGUUUCAGACUCAGACUUCAAGGCCUUCACAAGCUAACCUGAUUGGCUCUUGCUGUGCCAUAGCUCUGCCGUGAGGUCAACGGCCAAUUCCUCAUGAUGCACUUAUCGCUCUCUGCCCACAACGACUACUACCUGCUGAUUGACACUUAACGAAAUGACACAAAAGAUACAUAUGUGUGUAUUUCUAUGUAUGUGAGUGUGUGUGCAUAGCUCAUUGUGGAGCGAAACGACUGGAAAGAUUGUAUUUUAAAACCCAUGGGGGUAUUUGUCUCGUCAUCUCUGCAUUAACUUACUCUGUUUCAUCUUAAUUCUAAUUUGAAUAAUGCCUGAAACAGGAAACUGGUGGAAACAAAUAGAAACAUGUUCCUAGAUGUAUAAAGCAGAGAAAAUAAAGCAUUUCCUGCUGACUCUGUAUCAGUCGGUGGUAGUUUA